AUUGAACGCUGGCGGCAUGCCUUACACAUGCAAGUCGAACGGUAACGGGUCCUUCGGGAUGCCGACGAGUGGUGAACGGGUGAGUAAUAUAUCGGAACGUGCCCAGUAGUGGGGGAUAACUGCUCGAAAGAGCAGCUAAUACCGCAUACGACCUGAGGGUGAAAGGGGGGGAUCGCAAGACCUCUCGCUAUUGGAGCGGCCGAUAUCAGAUUAGCUAGUUGGUGGGGUAAAGGCCUACCAAGGCAACGAUCUGUAGUUGGUCUGAGAGGACGACCAGCCACACUGGGACUGAGACACGGCCCAGACUCCUACGGGAGGCAGCAGUGGGGAAUUUUGGACAAUGGGCGCAAGCCUGAUCCAGUAAUGCCGCGUGCAGGAAGAAGGCCUUCGGGUUGUAAACUGCUUUUGUCAGGGAAGAAAUCUUCUGGGCUAAUACCCCGGGAGGAUGACGGUACCUGAAGAAUAAGCACCGGCUAACUACGUGCCAGCAGCCGCAGUAACAC
rnacentral:rRNA from 1 species